CCUCGCUUCGCCGCAACACGAAGGACGACUGCUGCUGCUGGAGGAUCUUCAACAAGAGCCUGAAGGGGAUGAGAACACGGAGAACUGGCACGUUUACGGAACAGACAACGGAACACCUGAUCCAGAACCACAUGGAGACAGAACAUUUACCUGGACCUGAUGAAACACAUGCAGGCCUUCAGCCAUACUCGGUCCUGGUCCUGGUCCAGUGGAGAAGACGGUCCCAAUAAAACCAGCAGUUCAUCAGGAUCUGCAGAACAUGGACUCUGGGAUUCUAUGUUCCUGUUCCCCACGGCAUCAGGUGAUUGGACAUUUGAUGACAUCACGCCCGGAGCGCCGUCUCCGUCCAGUACUUGGACACAGGUCUGACCCAGACUGAACCAGUGCCAGGGGUUAAAGGGCACCAGGCUGCACAGCUGCUGCAUGGACUGGAUCACUGACGAAUGUUGGACAUAGAACCGCCAACACUGAACAGAUCCUUUGGUUCCAAACACAGUUCCACAUUCAGAACUGGAUCAAGAGGAUUUACCAGAAGUUGGGCCAGGUCCAGAGCCCGGUUCCUCUGGCCCAGUUUGGUGCA